rnacentral:rRNA from 1 species
AUACGGAGGGGGUUAGCGUUGUUCGGAAUUACUGGGCGUAAAGCGCACGUCGGCGGAUUGGAAAGUUGGGGGUGAAAUCCCAGGGCUCAACCCUGGAACUGCCUCCAAAACUAACAGUCUAGAGUUCGAGAGAGGUGAGUGGAAUUCCAAGUGUAGAGGUGAAAUUCGUAGAUAUUUGGAGGAACACCAGUGGCGAAGGCGGCUCACUGGCUCGAUACUGACGCUGAGGUGCGAAAGCGUGGGGAGCAAACAGGAUUAGAAACCCUAGUAGUCC